GAUGAACGCUGGCGGCGUGCCUAACACAUGCAAGUCGAACGGAACUUUUAUGGAAUGAGACUUCGGUUGAAUGAAGUUUAAGUUUAGUGGCGGACGGGUGAGUAACGCGUGAGUAACCUGCCUUUCACAGGGGGAUAACGUUUGGAAACGAACGCUAAUACCGCAUAACAUAUCGUUGUCGCAUGGCAGUGAUAUCAAAGAUUUUAUCGGUGAAAGAUGGACUCGCGUCCGAUUAGAUAGUUGGUGAGGUAACGGCUCACCAAGUCGACGAUCGGUAGCCGGACUGAGAGGUUGAACGGCCACAUUGGGACUGAGACACGGGCCCAGACUCCUACGGGAGGCAGCAGUGGGGAAUAUUGCACAAUGGGCGCAAGCCUGAUGCAGCAACGCCGCGUGAGGGAUGACGGUUUCGGAUUGUAAACCUCUGUCUUUGGUGACGAAGAAGUGACGGUAGCCAAGGAGGAAGCCACGGCUAACUACGUG
rnacentral:rRNA from 1 species